rnacentral:rRNA from 1 species
UACCAGCACCCCGAGUGGUCGGGACGUUUAUUGGGCCUAAAGCAUCCGUAGCCGGUUCUACAAGUCUUCCGUUAAAUCCACCUGCUUAACAGAUGGGCUGCGGAAGAUACUAUAGAGCUAGGAGGCGGGAGAGGCAAGCGGUACUCGAUGGGUAGGGGCAAAGUCCGUUGAUCCAUUGAAGACCACCAGUGGCGAAGGCGGCUUGCCAGAACGCGCUCGACGGUGAGGGAUGAAAGCUGGGGGAGCAAACCGG